GCCAAAACGUAACCCGACCGGGCUUUUUAGAUGGCGCAGGAAACUUUUUUCCACCUAGAAAUUGCAUGGUUGUCAACUCUCAAAAAUGUGUGCAUCGUCGUAAGUUGUAUAUACAGAGUGGAACCUCUCACGCACAAGGCCGAAGUGGACAUCAUAAUCGAUACCGCGAAGCCGCGAUCUUCCUCAAAGCUUUUCCUCGGCCCUUGAAAAAUUUAUAUAGGGUGUAACAUUCUACACCGCGGAAGUACGUCUCCAAAAGUUGCAAAGCUGCAAAUUUGCACAUAGAUCUUCUAUACCAAAGAAAAUUAAGUGCCUGUUUCUAUUAACUUUGUCAUUAUUGAAGCUUUGCUUCUAAAUCUGCUCCUAAAAAAAUAAAACGUAUUUUAGUAACAAACACUUAAGUUGCAGCGGAAACCAGGUAAGAUAGGUAAUCUGCGAUGAACGAAAUUCGAUAAAAGUCCGCCUCUUGAAUGUGCUAUAAAAGCGUGGCGUUUCUGUCGUGAAAUGUAUACAGAAUUCAAAAUGAUUAAGCUACUGAUCGUGACUGUUCUAGUAAUGGUAUUAGUGGGAAUGGUAGCGGGAGAUUGCACCGUCAACUGUGACUGCCACUUCAUGAGCUGUCCUCCAGAUAAACAAAGAUGUGGCAGCUGUCAAUCGAGUUCGUUGCAUAAAAAGUGUUGCGACAGCUAAUAAGAAGCCCACGGAUACCGCCUUUCACACAAAAUACGUUUGUGUUAGUUAUACAUUGAUUGUAAAAAAUUAAAUAAAUCAUAAAAUAACAAAUGAAGUAGUUGCUCAUCUACGAACUCAUCCAAUCGGCGUGCGCCAUACGAAAAUAAAAUUCGAAAAGCUUGUGUCUCGAACAAACAGAUACCGUUUCAAUUUAGUAUCAAGUGCAAUUGCGAUUGCAAUUGUUAUGUUCGUUUGUUUUGCAAUUUUUUAAACGAGUAUUUUAUUAUUACGAGUACAGCUCACUUGAUAAAAGUAGAUUUCACGAAAUAUGAUAUCGUUCUAGAUGUGGAAAAUACCGACCAAGAUAAUAAAGAUGACUCCAAGAAGUGAACAUGCGAUUGGUGAAGUCGAAGAUGUUAUAGGAGCUCAAAAGAUGCCGAUUAAUUCAAAAAAGAUCGAAGAAGAAAGGCAAAACAAAAGAAAGAUAACGGAAGGAACUGACCCGAAGAACCUCCGAAUCAUUUGCUUACAGUGUACAAAUGUAGGGGGGGGGGGGGGGAUCUGAAGGUAAGUAGGACUACAGU